UACGUAGGGGGCUAGCGUUGCCCGGAAUCAUUGGGCGUAAAGAGCGUGUAGGCGGCCCGAUUAGUCCGCUGUGAAAGUCCAGGGCUCAACCCUGGAAUGCCGGUGGAUACUGUCGGGCUAGAGUCCGGAAGGGGCGAGUGGAAUUCCUGGUGUAGCGGUGAAAUGCGCAGAUAUCAGGAGGAACACCAAUGGCGAAGGCAGCUCGCUGGGACGUGACUGACGCUGAGACGCGAAAGCGUGGGGAGCAAACAGG
rnacentral:rRNA from 1 species